CAAUAGCGUAUAUUAAAGCUGUUGCGGUUAAAAAGCUCGUAGUUGGAUUUCUGUCAAGGACAACUGGUCCGCCCCUCGGGUGAGCACAUAGUUUGGUCUUGGCAUCUUGUUGGAAACUGUUGCUGCACUUGGUUGUGUGGCGCAGUGUCCAGCACUUUCACUUUGAGGAAAUUGGUGUGUUUCAAGCAGGCACAUGCCUUUGGACACAGUAGCAUGGAAUAAUUAGAUUGGGCUUUUGCUCCAACUUGUCGGUUUCUGGAGCUGAGGUGAGAAUUAAUGGGGAUUGUUGGGGGCAUCCGAAUUUAGCCGUCAGAGGUGAAAUUCUUGGAUCUGCUAAAGACGGACAACUGCGAAAGCGUUUGCCCAGGAUGUUUUCAUUGA
rnacentral:rRNA from 1 species